rnacentral:antisense_RNA from 1 species
UGUGGGAGCGGGCUUGCUCGCGAAAGCGGUGGGUCAUUCAGCUAAUGAGUUGACUGACACACCGCUUUCGCGAGCAAGCCCGCUCCCACA